rnacentral:lncRNA from 1 species
GUGGGUGGUUUGGGUUGCAGAGAGUCCUUGCUGUUGGUUAGAUUGUGACCCCCCCACAUACACUUACCCCCCCAGCUACGGCCGAAUGCAUAAAAAGCCAAGGACCAUAAAGGAUGACUAAGCCCAACUGGUGUUCAACUAAAGCGAAACUCUCUCGUGGCACACCCUGUAUAGCGGCACACAUUUUGCAGGCCCGGUUCGCCUGUCAGUCGGUCGCUCACUUUGCCAUUCAACGGCCCAAACCUCGCCCUCGAGCGGGUGGGAGGCGAUGGGGAUGGGGAAACACGGCACUCGUUGAGGGUGAAUGCCAGUCGCUUGUCCUCCCCCAAAAACCAGCCUCCUCCGCGCCGUCCCCGUCCCCGUUGUCGUUUGUUUGUCACAAUAGGGCAAAAGUUUCACUGUAACCGUUAUGCGACCCACAGACACCACUGCGCCUACCCACUCCACCCCCCGGCAGUGCCGGGCUAAGAGCAAGAGCCCAAAUGUCUGACAGGCGGCAAGAGCAACAACAACGAAAUGAAACCCACCACCCAGCCACCCAACCAUUCAACGACCCAACCAGCCAUCCUGCCAUCCAGCUACCACUGCCACAGCCAUCACCAGUGCAAGUGCCACCCAAUCAAGCCAACCACCCACUCUCAGCCGUCCUUACACCCAGCCCAGCCACCCACCACACGAGCUACGUUGUCGGCAUAACGAACACCACACACACACACACACACACACACACACACACACAAACACCAACAGAGAUGGGAUUGACAUGGAACGUGGGCACAGGCGAACAGAAAAUGCUCUAGCUGAAGCUAUUGAAAAGGGUACAUGAACGAUGAUUGGAGGUCUUUUGUCUUUUGGGGAAUUCGAUAUAACUUUUGAUGGUGAAC